rnacentral:rRNA from 1 species
GAUGAACGCUAGCGGCAGGCCUAAUACAUGCAAGUCGAACGAUAUCAUCCAGCUUGCUGGAUGAGAAAGUGGCGCACGGGUGCGUAACGCGUAUGCAACCUACCUUAAUCAGGGGGAUAGCCCGGAGAAAUCCGGAUUAAUACCGCAUAAAAUCACAGCACUGCAUAGUGUAAUGAUCAAACAUUUAUGGGAUUGAGAUG